UGGCCCUUCAUUUUGCAAGCUGGUUAAGACAAUGACAUGUCCUAAUUGUCACAGGCAGCAGAAACUCUGGUUUUGUGAUUCUACUACAGAUUCCCAGCAAUGACUGCAGCACAAGUGUUAUUGAUAGUUGAGAUGAUGCUGACCCAGAUGGUGACUUCAGACCAUGCUGCCAUAUUCUCGUUAUGUGGCCUUCUUCUGCUGGAACUCUGGGAAGAGAUGGGUCAGUAGCUAACGAGGAACAUUUGAUGCUGCCAAAACUGCUGAGUUUCUCCAGCAGUUCCUGCUAUUGUUUCAGAUCUCCUGUUCUUGGUUUUAUUUUCAUAUUUAACUCACUGCCACGUCUCUUCCAGGUUUAAAGUGAAGCUUGCUGUGAGGCUGGUCCGUUUUUUGAAGACAGAAGUGAAAUCUUAAUAGGCUGAAUCCAGUGGCUAAAAGCAAUUACUGGAUACCCAGGACAAAGCUUGAAUCAUUUACACAUGACAGAGUAAUCAGAAGAAUGACAUAGAGUUCAUCCUGCUCUCCACCUUAAUUUAUCAUUUUUAAGAGUUUAGCUUCCAACCUGGGGUUAAGAGAUAGCGCCAUGGUCUGGAAAUUGAAUUACAGCCUGCAGGAACGCUUGGGUCUGACAAACAGAUUUAUAGUUUGCAACUGGGUUGUUUUAUUGUAUUUGCCCAUGCAGUAAACAUAGUGAAAAGUGAAUGUUAUUAUCAUGUUUCUCACCUGGAUCUUGUCAUAAUUUUGGAGAGAGUUAUAAUUGGAAGGAUUGACAAAUUGCUAUGAAAAGCUAAUGAUGGGUACCUGCUCAUGCAGGCUGCCCUUGCUGAUUUGAAAACUGUGGAUCUUGUCUUUGUGAGAUGAAGUUCAGUGAGCCUAUAUAUAACCGUAAAUAAAAUUAUCAUAGGUAAAAUACCUAUGAUAAAAAGAGGAAAUUUCUAUAAGCUCGUUACUCACCAACAGAAAUGCCUUAUUGUUCCAUUAUUAAUGCAGUUACAUACCUGUUAAUUUUAAUAAAGUCCUAUUAAGAAAUUCAUACAAUUAAUCAGUUUUUAGUGGGAUAUAUUAUGGGGGUUAAAAGUGAUACUGCAUUCAUAUCUUUCACUAUUAGCCACAUGUAAAUUAAACCAGGUUGCAAAACAGUUAACCAUUAAUGUUGUUUUGGAUAUCAACUGGGUAUAAUCCAAAAUAAAUGUAAUUACAAUUUAUCAUGUCUACCUUAAUUACGUGCAAUUAUCCUUUAGACUGGUACUUUGCAGAAAACAUGCAAGGCUAAUAGUGUUGUUUUUUUAAACU